CAGGAGGUGAGACAGGUAUAACACUCAGCAGGUGAGACAGGUAUAACACUCAGCAGGUGAGACAGGUAUAACACUCAGGAGGUGAGACAGGUGUAACACUCAGGAGGUGAGACAGGUCAGGAGGUGAGACAGGUAUAACACUCAGGAGGUGAGACAGGUAUAACACUCAGGAGGUGAGACAGGUAUAACACUCAGCAGGUGAGAUAGGUAUAACACUCGGGAGGUGAGACAGGUAUAACACUCAGCAGAUGAGACGGGUAUAACACUCAGGAGGUGAGACAGGUAUAACACUCAGGAGGUGAGACAGGUAUAACACUCAGCAGGUGAGACAGGUAUAACACUCAGGAGGUGAGACA